GGUCGCGUCAACUGUGUUUACGAGUGUCUUGUGUUCAGAUUGUUUUAAGUGAUAAUUUAACAAUAUUUUUCCAAAUAAAUGGAAAGAAACUUUUAUUUAUAUCAAAUAAUUGAGUGUCUCGACUGUGUGACAUUAUGUCUUGUGUGGUAUGGGGCUGCAGCUCACAUUCAGGAAGAAAAGAAAAUAGCGAACAACUUCUGUCGUUUCAUCGAUAUUAAAUCCAAAAGUGUCGACUGGAUUUACAUGAAAAGUCAGUUCAAGAAGACGAGAUGAAAAAUUUAAAAGAAAAGCUGAACAAGUCCCGCCUCAAGAUCAAACGACUUAAUGAAAAAAAAAACAAUGUGUCAGGGUGUCACAAAGACAGUUUCUAAGCAAAUUGACACUGUUUAGAAAUUAAUAAAUUUGUAUUUAUUGUAAAUAUAAUGUACAUAAUUAAUAACGUGUGAAAUAAAUACUUGCUAAUGAAAAUGAACAGAUUUACGAUCUA